GCCCUCCUUUAAAAGGCAAGGGGUCAGAGGCACUGCCACCUCACCCUUUCACAUCCCCACGACCCAGGUUUCCCAGCCAGAGCCCAGGGGUCACCAGGCUUCAAGGUGUCUGCCUCUCUGCAGGUUACUCUGGAAGGGACAAGGAUGAUGCCCACAGCCAGAAACGCCCCCAUGAUAGUCCCUGUCAGGGACACCCAAGGCAAUGUGUCCCCAGGGCUUCUAGCCUCUCCCAGGGACCAUGGCUGCUCCCAGCAGAGGCAGAGGCUGCCUGAGAUCGCCCCGAGGUCCAGGGAGGCACAGCCCAGCUCAGGGACCACCCCGAGGUCCACAGAGGCACAGCCCAGCUCAGUGGCCGCAGGGAAGCCUGGAGAUCCUGCAGAACUCCAGCCUCACUUUUGACUCCAGCCCUUCUGGAUGAGGACAGACAUGGUCUGAAGCCCAGACUUUCCACAUGAGGAAGAACCCAGAGCCCACGCUGUGUCUGAGGUGAAGGACUGGCAGGGAACCGGGGAGAAACACACUUUCCC